GGAGCAGUGGCCGAGCGGUUUAAGGCGCACGCCUGGAAAGCGUGUUGGGCGCAAGCCCUCGCGGGUUCGAAUCCCGCCUGCUCCG
rnacentral:tRNA from 1 species